rnacentral:rRNA from 1 species
UACGUAGGGUGCAAGCGUUGUCCGGAAUUAUUGGGCGUAAAGCGCGUGUAGGCGGCUCGGUAAGUCCGGUGUGAAACCUUGGGGCUCAACCCCAAGGCCUGCACUGGAUACUGUCGAGCUUGAGUCGGGAGGGGAGAGCGGAAUUCCUAGUGUAGCGGUGAAAUGCGCAGAUAUUAGGAAGAACACCGGUGGCGAAGGCGGCUCUCUGGAACGGUACUGACGGCUGAGACGCGA